rnacentral:rRNA from 1 species
GGCCCCGUCGGGGUCUGAGUUGUAAUUUGCAGAGGAUGCUUCGGCGUUGGUCCCGGGUCAAGUCCCCUGGAACGGGGCGCCCCAGAGGGUGAGAGCCCCGUAUCCGCCCGGGUCGCCUCCGCCGUGCGAAGCUCCUUCGACGAGUCGAGUUGUUUGGGAAUGCAGCUCCAAGCGGGAGGUAAAUUCCUUCGAAGGCUAAAUACCGGCCAGAGACCGAUAGCGCACAAGUAGAGUGAUCGAAAGAUGAAAAGCACUUUGGAAAGAGAGUCAAAAAGCACGUGAAAUUGUUGAAAGGGAAGCUCUUGCCGCCAGACUUGCCGCGGUUGCUCAGCCGCCCCCCCCCGCGGGCGGUGCACUCCCCCGCCGGCAGGCCAGCGUCGGUUCGGGCGGUCGGACAAAGGCCCCGGGAACGUGGCACCCCCCGAGGUGCGUUAUAGCCCGGGGCGCAAUGCGGCCAGCCCGGUCCGAGGGACGCGUCCGCCAGGACGCUGGCGUAAUGGCGGCAAGCGACCCGUCUUGAAACACGGACCAAGGAGUCUAACAUCCGUGCGAGUGCUUGGGCGUCGAAACCCACGCGCGCAAUGAAGGUGAACGCAGGUGGGAACCCCCCGCGAGGGGCGCACCAUCGACCGAUCCUGAUGUCCUCGGAUGGAUUUGAGUAGGAGCACGGCUGUCGGGACCCGAAAGAUGGUGAACUAUUCCCGGAUAGGGUGAAGCCAGAGGAAACUCUGGUGGAGGCUCGCAGCGGUUCUGACGUGCAAAUCGAUCGUCAAAUCCAGGAAUAGGGGCGAAAGACUAAUCGAACC